UACAGAGGGUGCAAGCGUUAAUCGGAGUUACUGGGCGUAAAGGGCGCGUAGGCGGUUAUAUAAGUGAGCUGUGAAAUCCCUGGGCUUAACCUAGGAACUGCAGCUCAUACUGUGUAACUGGAGUAUUGUAGAGGGUAGUGGAAUUUCCGGUGUAGCGGUGAAAUGCGUAGAGAUCGGAAGGAACACCAGUGGCGAAGGCGGCUACCUGGACAAAUACUGACGCUGAGGCGCGAGAGCGUGGGGAGCAAACAGG
rnacentral:rRNA from 1 species